UUCUUACUCUCCCACGCGGCGACCUAAACUGCUCCAUCGAAUGCGAUCGGCGAGGCGAUUUCAUGGCGGAUUGUUUCUAUGCUCGAUCUUUGAACUGGAAGAAUAGGUAUUUACCCUUCCUUUGCCCUAUAUAUUAUCCAAUCGACCGAUCUAACAGCAUUCAUCUUCCGGUGAUGCAUUGCGAAACGGAUCUCGCCUCCUGCAAGAAUCCCUAUGAAACGCUCGUUGAACCCUCCCGAGAUGAGGUGCUCGUCAAAUGCGGUCGUGAAGCCACGAUAGGCAACUAUCCCUGCUUCGUGAUGAAUCUUCUUGGCUCCACCUGCAUCUGGUUGUUGAGUUUGUUGAGGUGAAGAUGAAUGAGUUGAAAGGGGUGGACAGGGUCCUUAGGGAAGAGUUUUUAUUCUUUCUUGCUUGUUCAAGAGCAGUGGAAGAAGAGGGCAAGGACUAAAAAUGGAUUAAGCCAGAACAAGAGCAACACGAAAGCAUCAGGGGUGAGCUUCUAAAAUCAAUUACUUUUAUCAAAUAAUUUAUUAGUUUGAUUUGGAUUUACAAUUUAAAGCAAAAACACAUAGGGUUUUUUUGAACUUUAUUUCA